rnacentral:misc_RNA from 1 species
GCAGAUCAGCUGCCCCAAUUUGCUUGUCUAUCGUACCUGAGAAUUCGUAAUUGUCCCAAGCUAACUUGGAUGCCACUGUUUCCAGCUCUUGACGAUACUCUAUGGCUGGGGAAUGCCAGGCUAGAGCCAUUAGAGCAAACAAUGAAGGCUAAGAUGAUGACAUCACCCUCUCCUUCUUCUUCUUCAUCAAUCGUUCAGCUUCAGCCACUUUCCAAAUUGGAGAAGUUGGAGUUCUAUUCAAUGGAAGACCUUGUAUCUUUGCCAGAAGAGUGGUUGCAAAACUUCACUUCUCUUCAAGAAAUAAUCAUUGAGUCUUGCCCGAGAUUUGCAUCUAUGAGGAAAGGGAUGCAUCAUCUCACUUCCUUACGACGCUUGAAAAUUAGUGGAUGUCCCCAGCUGGAGACAUAUGCAGACCACAUGGAUAUGGAUUGGCCUAAAGGCGCUGAAAUUCGAAUUGAUGAUAAAUUGUUUCAGCGGAAGGAUUCCCUCCCAUUGGAUGACCAGAGAUAAUUCCGAAUUUAUGCUCAGGUUCACCGCCAAAAAUUUCAAGGUACUUCUGUCUUCUCUUUGACCAUAUUUUAGGGUCAUAGGUUCUGAGUUCUGACUAUAAUUUUUCCUAUCGUCCUUUUCCGGGAAAUAAAUUUUGUGUACAUUGGCAUCUCUUAAGGAAUUGACGUGAUCAUCAGCGAAUGAAGUUUCGUGGCUUCCUAUUACUUUUUCCUAGACUUUUAACUUGUCCACAUUCUGAAAUUGAAAUUUGACAAUAUUAUAGAGGACACUUCUGGGGAGGUUCUUGAUUCAAAUUGAUGUUUUUUAUAUUUAUUAUAUUUAUGUUUUUUUUUAUAUUUAUUCUGUCUAUUUUCUUUCAAAUUGUUAGAAAUUUGGCAGUUCUCCUGAGGAUUGUUGCUUGGUUCUUUGUAAUGAUGAACAUGGCUUGCAAUGACCAGGCCUUGAAGACACAUACCAGAGAUAUGCAAGCCUAUGUCAGUUCCAACACUUGAAAUGAUUACCUGUACAAGUGGUAGAAUGGAUGCUCUUGGAUGGGUCUCUGGUUCUGGUAGCUACUAUUUGCUCUUUCUUUUUGGUUGGCUUCUGCAGGAGCUUACUGGGCUGCUGGCCUGUUUAGUUUUGGAACUUUGAGUUUUGUUGUUCUGCUUAGUUUUACUUGGAUAUGUAUUCCGCAGCUUGUUUUUGAGUUUGGUCUUGGUUUUGUUUGUGUCUUCUAGAAUUUUUCACUUUGCAUACUAUGUUUUAGGUUGUAUGUCCUAGGUCGGGUGUACUGGGGAGGUUUAUCUAUCGGGGUUUAGUUGAACAUGCCCAUGCUAAGUUUUUCCUGGAUCUAUUUUAUUUAAUUAAUAAAAUCUCCUGCUUAUCAUGGAUGCAUUGGCUCACCUCAACCCAGAUCAAAAAGGCCAAUCAGGAUUAGAUGAAAUUGGCUUCAUAUUUCUUAAUGGUAAAUUUUGAAUUGAAUCCUUGCAUUAAAGAAAUAAAAGUUUAGUUUAGCACUCACGUUUUGUAAUUAUGUGCAUGCCAUAUCUGCACUUUGAGUGGUAAACAUUAAACACUGCAAUGCCAUCUGCUUCUUCUCUUUAUGAUUUAUGUUACUGUAUCUAGAGAUAAGAUUGUGUGAAGAACUUCAUUCUUUGUAUGAUGGUACCCAGACUUGAGGAAUACUUUCCAGAGUUGCUUCAACACAAUGGCUUGUUGCAUGUUCUGAAAACCUCCCAAUUGUGGCAAGUUCCUUAGCAUCCAACUUCAACAGUCAUAGGGAUAAGAUUCCUGCUUGAUUACAAUUCUGAAAACAACUCAAGAAGAGCCGGCAAUCAUAGGUUAAAUCUUGAAGAGCAGUUACAGAAAUGAAGCUGGACGAUGAGUGUUUUUCUCACUUCUAUAAAAGACAUGUAGCAGGGGGCAUGUUUCAGGGUCUAGCCACUCAAGGCCUCUGUUUUGAGAAUCCAACAACACUAUCUGGAAGUAGAACUAGAUGGUGUGGAUGGCGAAUUUUCUAUCAUGUAAAUUGUUUAGUGAGAUGGUUCAAAAACUUUUAGGUAGGAAAGAACCGCAGAUUACUUGUAGAAUACAGUCGUUCAUGGCUGUCGAAAUUGCUAGUCAACUCAUAUAAUUUUGCAAGUUAAAUUCAUAUUAACGAAUUAACGCUCAAAG